AGGCGGUUAGCUCAGAUGGUUAGAGCGCCACGUUGACAUCGUGGAGGUCGUUGGUUCGAUUCCAAUACCGCCUA
rfam:Bordetella hinzii strain F582, complete genome.